rnacentral:rRNA from 1 species
AGACCAACAGGGAUUGCCCCAGUAACGGCGAGUGAAGCGGCAACAGCUCAAAUUUGAAAUCUGGCUCUCAGGGCCCGAGUUGUAAUUUGCAGAGGAUGCUUUUGGCGAGGUGCCUUCCGAGUUCCCUGGAACGGGACGCCACAGAGGGUGAGAGCCCCGUAUGGUCGGACACCGAGCCUCUGUAAAGCUCCUUCGACGAGUCGAGUAGUUUGGGAAUGCUGCUCAAAAUGGGAGGUAUAUGUCUUCUAAAGCUAAAUACCGGCCAGAGACCGAUAGCGCACAAGUAGAGUGAUCGAAAGAUGAAAAGCACUUUGAAAAGAGGGUUAAAAAGUACGUGAAAUUGUUGAAAGGGAAGCGCCUGUGACCAGACUUGCGCCCGGUAAAUCACCCAGCGUUCUCGCCGGUGCACUUUGCCGGGCUCAGGCCAGCAUCAGUUCGGCGCGGGGGUAAAGGCUUCGGGAACGUAGCUCCACUGGGAGUGUUAUAGCCCGCUGCGCAAUGCCCUGCGCCGGACUGAGGUACGCGCACUGCAAGGAUGCUGGCGUAAUGGUCAUCAGCGACCCGUCUUGAAACACGGACCAAGGAGUCGUCUUCGUAUGCGAGUGUUCGGGUGUCAAACCCCUACGCGUAAUGAAAGUGAACGCAGGUGAGAGCUCCGGCGCAUCACCGACCGAUCCUGAUGUUCUCGGAUGGAUUUGAGUAAGAGCAUACGGGGCCGGACCCGAAAGAAGGU